ensembl:ncRNA asRNA:CR46058 antisense RNA:CR46058
ACCGGAUCAAACAGACUGGAACGAACCGACAUCAGAUAGGAAGUUGGCUAUAGCUUGGCCUCCACAACAGGUGCCUCCUUUUCCACCUGCAGAUGACUCGAAAGCUGGCUAUCCUCCUGGCAGAACCGCACAUUACCCAUCACGGGCAGCAUCUGCUGCACUUUGAGGCUCAUGUUCUGCAGGAUUAGCAGGACAUCGUGGCUGGCCAUCUCCUUGGCCACCGAUAUCAGCAUCUCACUGAAGGUGGCAUCGAACUGCAUAAAGCGUGCGCAAUCGAGAACCACUGGGAAAUCAUUGUGAUACAAUCUGCAUGCUCCUCGCAACUCAGAUCGUAGUGCAUCGACGCCUGUGUAAUAGACAUCCGAUUGGGGAACGAUGUGCACAUAGUACGUGGAUUCAUGCUAGGGAGCAAUGUCAAAUAUUAAACUAAAGUUAUCUAGUUAACUUUCAAACUUACCUGUUUAAGGGUGACCUCAAAUUUGGGGUUACCCAAGCGCAGCAAUAUAAACACCAUGCUGAGAACAAUGCCAAAGAGAAGACCCAACUCGACGCCAGCCACCAAACAGAUGAUAAAACUUCCCACCCAGCUAAAGAAGUCCUUUUUGUUGGUCUGCCAUAGCUCCUUAACUGGAGCAAGAUCAAUCUGUUUGAAAGGAAAAGUAUAUGAUUAACUACAUUUAGUUGAUAAGAAAGUAUAAACGCACCAUAAAGAUGACUGCUGCUAUU